rnacentral:rRNA from 1 species
AUCUUUGAACGCACCUUGCGCUCCUUGGUAUUCCGAGGAGCAUGCCUGUUUGAGUGUCAUGAAGUUCUCAACUGCUUUGACUUUGUUGUUGAAGUGAAGUUGGAGUUGGAGGGUCUUUGCUGGCGUGGGCUUGUUGUGUGGUUUUGCUACAUGCUUGCUUGCUUGUCGGCUCCUCUUAAAAGUAUGAAACCUUUCUGGUAGAUC